UGAGGAAUCAAGUUGAGAGUAUGCGGCAGAUCAGCAGGGAGUCGCUUCUUGGGCAGGUGGUGGCAUUGGUGAUGAUCAAUCUCGAUUGCCUCUUGAACUAGGCAAUAUUGCAAUCGUCAGAUAAGAAGAAGCAAUAGUAGAUCUCAACAGACCUGAGCAGAGAUCUAUUGGUGGAGGAAGAAUUGACAAGUUUAUGCUACGACUACAGAUUUGUGAGAGAUCUACAGUUCUUAUCAUAGAUCGGUGAGAGAACUGUAGUUUGUGUCAUAGAUCUAUGUUGCGGCUGCAACUUCUGUGAGUCGCAAGGAGGGAGAGUGCUAGGGUGCGAUGGGGCGAAGAGCAUGACGUGGCUGGAGAGGCAGGGCGACGUUUCUUCCUCCUUUCCGCUUCUCUGUUCCAUGGCGACGGGGGCAUGAUAGCACUGAACGACGAUGGGAUGUUAGGGGCGGAUGAGCGAUUGGAGUAGAAGACGGAGGCGCCGCAAAAGCAAUUAAGGUUCUUCGUCGGGAGGUGGCAGGACUCGAUGAGGAGCGAUUGCUAUCGUCGGAUAGCGAGAAGAGAGCUUGGUCUAAGCAAGAAGCUCUGAUUUCAUGAUAAAUUGGAACGUGAUUACAAAACUUGAUAAAAGUUUAUUGACAUGAUUACUAUUUAUACAUGUUAACAAGAUUUCUUCGUGCAGAUCAAUGAGAUUUCUUCGUACAGUUGGAAAAAUCUUAUAUGCUAUCACUAAGAGUGGAUUUUAUUCAAGAUUAGCUAGAUAUAGAUCUUCCUUUCUUACUCUCAUUUCUAGCCAAUGGAGAUCAAGAACUGAAUUAACGAAGAACAGAAUAAAUGUAAUAUAAAGAUUACAAGCAUACAACUGAGUAAAUUUAAAAGACAGAUUAGA